AACUGACUGAGCCACCCAGGUGCCCUGGAUAGACUACAUCUAUCUAUCCGUCCACACAUUGAUAACCACUUGAGCUGUUUCCACCUUUUGGCUAUUGUGAGUAACGCUGCUGUGAACACGCACAUACACUUUCAGUUCUUUGGGGGCACGUACCUACGAGUGGGAUUGUGGAAUCAUUUGGUAAUGCUGUUUAACUCCACACAUAACUUUCCAUUGCACCUGUCAGGAGUUGGGGAUUAGCAGAGGGUUGCUGGAGAGAAAGUUCAGUGAGCUCAGAGUCCCAUCCACACAGAGGGGGCUGGGGUGGCUGCCUGGCCUCUAGCCGAGAGAGAAGGUAUCAAGGAGCCAUCAAGAAGCUUGUUAUAUGCUCUCUGGGGAUUGGGAAGGAGGUAGCUGCCGGCUUCGUAACAACAUAGCCAAGAGAGCUGGCUGUGCACAUUAGGCCUCCUCUCUAGAAUUUGCGGGCACAAAGCAUGGUGUGGGCGUCCACCGAAGCAGAGAUGGGCCUCUCGUUCAAGGGGCGUGAGGUGUCCUUAGAUCCUGCACACCGGGCUGCCCAGAGAAGGGCAGGAACAACAGCAGAAGGAAGCUGGGCUUCACUCCUGCUCACAGAAGAGCUGCAGACGAGUUACGGGCAGCCAGCUGGAGCAGGAGUACAUCCUCUUGAGUCAAAGGAAGAGCCCAGGGAUGAGACGGCACCUGGGAUGACUGCAUACCCUUGAAGUGAAGAUAGGACUAUGACACUUGCUUUGGACAAUGAAACGUAUGGCCUGGACCCUCUGCACUGCUACCUAUCAAGUCUGGACCUGUUAACAAAGAUUCGGGGAAGAAUAGCGACCCUAAUUUCAUAGACUUUCUGUCUGGACUUACCCACAACUAUCCGGAUAUAAAUGUUGCCCUGUCCUGUUACCCACACUAUGAGCCUGUGCUUAGACUGUGUUGUCCGAGUUCCACGCCUCUGCUCUGCUGUUCGCAGACUACACUGCAGGUCUCUCUAUAGCAUGUGAAUUUACGCACAGAUCUAGAUGUGCGCACCAAACACCAAGGAAAUUCACCGAAAGUCCUACGGUUCUCUGCUUCUGUUUUUACCAAAGAUUUCAACUACAUCUAUGGCUUUCGGACAAUGACUUUCGGAUCCCAGCAGGUUUUACUGAUGACACCUGGGCUUAAUAGAAAUCACGUGAACUGGUCAGGAUCCUGUGCUCUCUGCCACCCACUGUAAUGAGGUCCCCAUCGAGAUACAGAAGGAGAACACGGCCCGGGUGCCCCGGAGGCCCAACCCCAAGAUAUGGCUGGUUGGGGAAGAAGGAGUCAUACGAGCCUGGGUGAG